UGUUUUUCAGGCAGUGAAGAGUUAGAGGA
rnacentral:piRNA from 1 species